rnacentral:rRNA from 1 species
AUUGAACGCUGGCGGCAUGCUUUACACAUGCAAGUCGAACGGUAACAGGCCGCAAGGUGCUGACGAGUGGCGAACGGGUGAGUAAUGCAUCGGAACGUGCCCAGUCGUGGGGGAUAACGCAGCGAAAGUUGCGCUAAUACCGCAUACGAUCUAUGGAUGAAAGCGGGGGACCGUAAGGCCUCGCGCGAUUGGAGCGGCCGAUGUCAGAUUAGGUAGUUGGUGGGGUAAAGGCUCACCAAGCCGACGAUCUGUAGCUGGUCUGAGAGGACGACCAGCCACACUGGGACGGAGACACGGCCCAGACUCCUACGGGAGGCAGCAGUGGGGAAUUUUGGACAAUGGGCGCAAGCCUGAUCCAGCAAUGCCGCGUGCAGGAAGAAGGCCUUCGGGUUGUAAACUGCUUUUGUACGGAACGAAACGGUCCUGGUUAAUACCUGGGGCUAAUGACGGUACCGUAAGAAUAAGCACCGGCUAACUACGUGCCAGCAGCCGCGGUAAGAC